GAAGAACCCCUCCAUAGCUGCCGCUGACCCCGUCCUCUUAUUCAACUCACAGGCGACCUCCAUGCCGUUUACCAACCAAGCAGCAUCCGACGACCAGCCGUACACACCAGACCCAACACAUCUCUGCCGAGUUUCUGCUUCUUCUCUUUGACUUCAAUUUCGAAUUUUGGUUUCAAAUUCAUGGAGUUCAUUUGAGUUUGAAGUUGUUUUGUGAUUCAGGCUGAUUCGAGGUCGUUGUUCGCGAUUCGCCAUUCAAGGUUCGGAUUCCGUUCUUACUUGCCGAUUUUGAAAAAUCAAGGUUCGUUUCUAUUUCUUGCUCUGUUUUGGUAGGAUUGAAAAUAUGAUGUUGAUGGCUUAAUUAAUUUAUGAUUC
rnacentral:lncRNA from 1 species